rnacentral:rRNA from 1 species
UACAGAGGGUGCGAGCGUUAAUCGGAAUUACUGGGCGUAAAGCGCGCGUAGGCGGCUUUGCAAGUCGGGUGUGAAAUCCCCAGGCUUAACCUGGGAACUGCAUUCGAGACUGCAUUGCUAGAGUAUGGGAGAGGGAAGUGGAAUUUCCGGUGUAGCGGUGAAAUGCGUAGAUAUCCGAAGGAACAUCAGUGGCGAAAGCGACUUCCUGGACCAAUACUGACGCUCAUGUGCGAAAGCGUGGGGAGCAAACAGG